GUAACAUGUGCGCGAGUCACUGGGCGUAACGAAACCUAAAGGCGAAGUGAAGGUCUGUCUUGUCAGGACUGAGGUAACAUCCUGUCGUGCCUCAUGCGCGGUAUCAUCAAGCAUCGAGCGGCAGGCGCAUCACCGGCCCGUCCCAUGGUGUGAUGGCCCUAUUCAGAGUUUGUCAUCGGGGCGGAGCAUGAGCGUACAUGUUGAGACCCGAAAGAUGAACUAUGCUUGCGCAGGUUGAAGCCAGAGGAAACUCUGGCCGCAGCGAUCCUGACGUGCAAAUCGACCGUCAGACGUGAGUAUAGGGGCGAAAGACUAAUCGAACCAUCUAGUAGCUGG
rnacentral:ncRNA from 1 species